GCAAAACAAAACAAAACAAAAAGCAAAAAACAGACACAAAAAACACAACAGGCCUCAAAGCAAUCCAUGGAUGGUUGGGUUACAGCUUUGGAUGCCGCGCUUCGGGGCGGCCGCCAUGGCCCAGAGUCCACGGGCACAGAGAGUGCCAGCUAGAGGCUAGAGCCUGAGGCAUCAGGGGUCUGUAUGUGAGAAAUCUCGUCCACAUGUCAAUGGCAACAGCCGCAACCGCAACAACAGCAGCAACAACAACAACAAAUGGGUUUUUAUUAGCUCUGCGACCUGGCGCAACAACAACGAUGACAACCACAAUAAAAAUAGCCACAUACAAAGCAAAGACGACGUCAUUGAUAAGAGUCUGUGCCGACGUCAUAGUUAGGCAUACAUAUGUAUGUAUGCUUGUGCAUACGGUGCCUACGACAGAGCCAGCAUCGAGCUUAUCGCUGACGUAAUGAAAUGGCAUGGCGGGUAUCAGGCGGCAGCUGAAGUGCUUGCACAACCUCCUUGUGCCGCCGAGCUGUGCCACAAAGCAAAUACAUAAAUAAAAUAAAGCUAUAAAUACAUAAAAAUUAA